UACGGAGGGUGCAAGCGUUAUCCGGAUUUACUGGGUUUAAAGGGUGCGUAGGUGGAUAAUUAAGUCAGUGGUGAAAUCUUCAGGCUUAACCUGGAAACUGCCAUUGAUACUAUUUAUCUUGAAUACUUUGGAGGUAAGCGGAAUAUGUCAUGUAGCGGUGAAAUGCUUAGAUAUGACAUAGAACACCAAUUGCGAAGGCAGCUUACUACACAGUAAUUG
rnacentral:rRNA from 1 species